rnacentral:tRNA from 1 species
GCCCCCAUAGCUCAAUGGCAGAGCAGAGGACUCUUAAUCCUUUGAUGUAAGUUCGACUCUUACUGGGGGCA